rnacentral:lncRNA from 1 species
ACCAUGUGUUGUGUUUUGAGAGUAGCAAAGAAUAUGAUUUUAGUUGUAAAUUCAUUGAUGCUUAGUGGAAGAAAAUCCUUCAAAUAUUGAAAGAGUUCCUUUUGCACCUUUAAAGAUAUGUCUUCAGUGGAGCAACAAUUUUUUGAGAAAAAAAAAAGAAGGUGCAAAAGAGUCGUGCUUGGGCUAAUGAGUCCAAACUGAUAAAAGAGUCUAAGGUUAACCUAGUCUGGCAGAGAUCCUUGAUCUGAAUAGGCUAAGAAAGAGAAAUCAAUAAAGGAUUGCUGAUCAAGGUACUUAUAUGAUAACACCUUAUGAUUUCUCUAUCUGUGACACUACUACUUGGACAUUGGAUAUUGGAAGUCUAUGCAAAUUGUUGCAAUGACUUCAAGUUAGUAGAAAGUUUGAAAAUAACAGGAGGUUCCUGAACAUUAGAGAUGGAAGUUA